AUGGCUGCGAGGCCCAUGAGCGCUCCAGCGUCCUGACCAGGGGAACGUUUUCCUUAGGGACCCGGAGGCGAGCGCUGGAGGGAGGGAUGGUUGCUAACGCAACUCUCUGCAGGGCAGACCCACCAGCACCCGAACGCAAACUACGGGCUGGAGCAGUCUAACAGAAACUCUCUCAAAGUCGCUCACGGGUUGCCAUUCUAGACCCAGCCUCACCAUUCCAAUGAAGACAUCAAUUAACUCAUGCACAGCCGCUACAAACGGGGAGCUCAUUGCCUGCAGGGAAGGACCCUCUACAGAGAGCUACCUGGGGGCUGGGAAGCAGGACCCCAGGCUGAGUCCUGCCUCUUGGUAGUGCCCCGCCCCGGCCAAUGCGGCUGUUAUAUCAAAGUACAUAAAAGUGAAGGCAAAGGGUGUCCAUGUGGGAUAGAGUGGCAUAGCUUCCUGGCCACCCAUGGUGCUCCAUUAUCUCUUCGAGGACCCCUUCUCCACGAGACCCUCCAGAUGGAGUCUUGCUCUGUCCCUCAGGCUGGAGUGCAGUGGUGCAAUCUCAGCUCACUGCAACCUCCAACUCCUGUGUUCAAGUGAUUCUCCUGCCUCAGCCUCCUGAAUAGCUGGGAUUACAG